UAGGGAAUAUUCGGCAAUGGACGGAAGUCUGACCGAGCAACGCCGCGUGAGUGAAGAAGGUUUUCGGAUCGUAAAGCUCUGUUGUUAGAGAAGAACGUUGGUAGGAGUGGAAAAUCUACCAAGUGACGGUAACUAACCAGAAAGGGACGGCUAACUACGUGCCAGCAGCCGCGGUCAUACGUAGGUCCCGAGCGUUGUCCGGAUUUAUUGGGCGUAAAGCGAGCGCAGACGGUUCUUUAAGUCUGAAGUUAAAGGCAGUGGCUUAACCAUUGUACGUUUUGGAAUCUGGAGGACUGGAGUGCAGAAGGGGGGAGUAGACUUCCAUGUGUAGCGGUGAAAUGCGUAGAUAUAUGGAGGAACACCGGUGGCGAAGGCGUAUCUCUGGUCUGUAACUGACGCUGAGGCUCGAAAGCGUGGGGAGCAAACAGG
rnacentral:rRNA from 1 species